rnacentral:tRNA from 1 species
GUGGAAGAUACGAUGGAGUCGAUUCUUGAUCUUGCCAAGACGGAGGGCAUGAUUUUCAAGUUCGGCUCCGGUUCCGGUUCGAACCUUUCGCG